rnacentral:lncRNA from 1 species
GCCCUACAGAGAAAAGGCAUUUGGAAUCAGCGCCCUGAGGCUCCUCUAUGCCCUGCACCCCAUCACCUCCCUGCACCCCGUCAUCAACGCGAGCGUGGGCCAGCUGUGGAGCAAGGAGAUCCCCGUGCUGGUGCAGCUGCUGCGUGUUUUCCAGUCAGUCACUGGUGGCCAUCAAUGAUGACAGGUGGCUGGAGCCACUCACCGUGGCCAUCCUGGAGAAGAUAAAGAAUAGCGGUGACAAUGAGGAGCAGAAGGU